rnacentral:rRNA from 1 species
UACGUAGGGGGCUAGCGUUGUUCGGAAUUACUGGGCGUAAAGCGCGUGUAGGCGGUUGCCAAAGUCGGGUGUGAAAGCCUUGAGCUCAACUCAAGAAUUGCACUCGAUACUUGGUGACUAGAGGACCGGAGAGGAUAGUGGAAUUCCCAGUGUAGUGGUGAAAUACGUAGAGAUUGGGAAGAACACCAGUGGCGAAGGCGGCUAUCUGGACGGUUUCUGACGCUAAGACGCGAAAGCGUGGGGAGCAAACAGG